rnacentral:rRNA from 1 species
AUAAGACGAGAAGACCCUGUGGAGCUUUAAUUAAUCGACCCAAAGAGACCUUAAUAACCAACCGACAGGAACAACAGACCUCUGCCAUGGGCCGACAAUUUAGGUUGGGGUGACCUCGGAGAAUAAAACAACCUCCGAGUGAUUUAAAUCUAGACUAACCAGUCGAAAGUAUUACAUCACUUAUUGAUCCNAAAGCUUGAUCAACGGAACAAGUUACCCCAGGGAUAACAGCGCAAUCCUAUUUC